rnacentral:rRNA from 1 species
GAUGAAUGCUGGCGGCGUGCCUAAUACAUGCAAGUCGAGCGAACAGACGAGGAGCUUGCUCCUCUGACGUUAGCGGCGGACGGGUGAGUAACACGUGGAUAACCUACCUAUAAGACUGGGAUAACUUCGGGAAACCGGAGCUAAUACCGGAUAAUAUAUUGAACCGCAUGGUUCAAUAGUGAAAGACGGUUUUGCUGUCACUUAUAGAUGGAUCCGCGCCGCAUUAGCUAGUUGGUAAGGUAACGGCUUACCAAGGCAACGAUGCGUAGCCGACCUGAGAGGGUGAUCGGCCACACUGGAACUGAGACACGGUCCAGACUCCUACGGGAGGCAGCAGUAGGGAACCUUCCGCAAUGGGCGAAAGCCUGACGGAGCAACGCCGCGUGAGUGAUGAAGGUCUUCGGAUCGUAAAACUCUGUUAUUAGGGAAGAACAAAUGUGUAAGUAACUAUGCACGUCUUGACGGUACCUAAUCAGAAAGCCACGGCUAACUACGUG